rnacentral:rRNA from 1 species
CCUACGGGGGGCUGCAGUGGGGAAUAUUGCACAAUGGGCGCAAGCCUGAUGCAGCCAUGCCGCGUGUGUGAAGAAGGCCUUCGGGUUGUAAAGCACUUUCAGCGGGGAGGAAGGCGUUAAGGUUAAUAACCUUGGCGAUUGACGUUACCCGCAGAAGAAGCACCGGCUAACUCCGUGCCAGCAGCCGCGGUAAUACGGAGGGUGCAAGCGUUAAUCGGAAUUACUGGGCGUAAAGCGCACGCAGGCGGUCUGUCAAGUCGGAUGUGAAAUCCCCGGGCUCAACCUGGGAACUGCAUUCGAAACUGGCAGGCUAGAGUCUUGUAGAGGGGGGUAGAAUUCCAGGUGUAGCGGUGAAAUGCGUAGAGAUCUGGAGGAAUACCGGUGGCGAAGGCGGCCCCCUGGACAAAGACUGACGCUCAGGUGCGAAAGCGUGGGGAGCAAACAGGGUUAGAUACCCUGGUAGUC